rnacentral:tRNA from 1 species
AGAAAAGUAAGCUAAUAUAAGCUAAUGGGUUCAUACCCCAUACAUAGAGUGAAUACUCUCUUCUCUA